rnacentral:misc_RNA from 1 species
UAGCUGCGAUACGUGAUGUGAAUUGCAGAAUUCGUGAAUCAUCGAAUCUUUGAACGCAUACUGCGCUUUUGGGUGACCAGAAGCAUGUCUGCUUGAGUGUCAUUUAUACAUCUUCACCUAAAAAAAUUCUCCUUCUUCUCCGGAAGCUGGAGCGGCUUUUCUAAGGUGGAUAUGCAAGUCUUUCUUUGCCUCUGGGUAAAACAAAGUCUUGUGAAAGCUAUUGGAAACAAAAAAAUUUAAUAAGAGAGAAUGGUUCCCUUCUCCCUCUAUUUUUUUCCCCUUUCCUCUCAUGUAAUGAGGUAGAAUUUUACAACAUUACAGCUACGAGUUGGGAUAGAGAAGUUCAUAAAAAAAGAGGUUGGUUACCUUCCCCCUUUUCAAUAUUUGACCUCAAGUCAGA